GGCUUCGUAGUGUAGUGGUUAUCACUUCGGAUUCUGAUUACGUAAGCUUCCGGCAACGCCGGUUCGACUCCGGCCGAGGCCU